AUUGAACGCUGGCGGCAGGCUUAACACAUGCAAGUCGAACGGGGUGAUGGUGCUUGCACUAUCACUUAGCGGCGGACGGGUGAGUAAUGCUUAGGAAUCUGCCUAUUAGUGGGGGACAACAUCUCGAAAGGGAUGCUAAUACCGCAUACGUCCUACGGGAGAAAGCGGGGGAUCACUUGUGACCUUGCGCUAAUAGAUGAGCCUAAGUCGGAUUAGCUAGUUGGUGGGGUAAAGGCCUACCAAGGCGACGAUCUGUAGCGGGUCUGAGAGGAUGAUCCGCCAGACUGGGACUGAGACACGGCCCAGACUCCUACGGGAGGAAGCAGUGGGGAAUAUUGGACAAUGGGGGGAACCCUGAUCCAGCCAUGCCGCGUGUGUGAAGAAGGCCUUAUGGUUGUAAAGCACUUUAAGCGAGGAGGAGGCUCUUUUGGUUAAUACCCAAGAUGAGUGGACGUUACUCGCAGAAUAAGCACCGGCUAACUCUGUGCCAGCCGCCGCAGUAA
rnacentral:rRNA from 1 species